GUGGAUUAGAUACCCUGGUAGUCCACGCCCUAAACGAUGUCUACUAGUUGUUCGGAGCGGUAACGCACUGAGUAACGAAGCUAACGCGUGAAGUAGACCGCCUGGGGAGUACGGUCGCAAGAUUAAAACUCAAAGGAAUUGACGGGGACCCGCACAAGCGGUGGAUGAUGUGGAUUAAUUCGAUGCAACGCGAAAAACCUUACCUACCCUUGACAUGUCUGGAACUUGUGAGAGAUCACUUGGUGCCUUCGGGAGCCAGAACACAGGUGCUGCACGGCCGUCGACAGCU
rnacentral:rRNA from 1 species